rnacentral:rRNA from 1 species
UACGUAGGGGGCGAGCGCUGUCCGGAAUUACUGGGCGUAAAGAGAGCGUAGGCGGCACUACAAGUCUCAUGUGAAAUACCCGGGCUUAACUUGGGGGUUGCAUGGGAAACUGUAGAGCUUGAGUACAGGAGAGGCAAGCGGAAUUCCUAGUGUAGCGGUGAAAUGCAUAGAUAUUAGGAGGAACACCAGUGGCGAAGGCGGCUUGCUGGACUGAAACUGACGCUGAGGCUCGAAAGCGUGGGGAGCAAACAGG